CCGGCGAGGCGCCCGCGGUCCGCCAGCUCGCUGCCAUCAGCAUGCGGCGGCCCCGGCCAAAAAUAACCCUAGAAAGCGAAGCCGAGAGCCGCGGGCUCCUGCCAGGGAUGUAACUGGAGGCAGCGAGCAGCGGGCGAGCCAGCGCUGCACACUUGCUCGGGGGGAUCACGGUCUGUCAGCGCCGGGCCCCCGCCCCGGGUGCCCCCGCACGUAGUGGAGAAUCCCGGCUGGGUGAGGCCGGGCAGUGGUACUGUCCCAGCAUUGCCUUGACAAAGGCACUACCAGAAGUGUAAUGGGUUGCACUGAGCACUGUAAAUUUUUUGAUUCAAACUCAAGGUCUGCUUUAGGUGCCUUUGUCCCUAUAGGCCCAGUUUUUCUUGCACUGAGCUGGGAAUUGAGUUGUUGCCUGUGUGGACUUGAAGGAAAGAAGUCUGUCCCAGUGCAGCAGAAGCCCUUUGUAGCCACACAAUUACUUCUAAUUUAGUUGACCUGGUGGCCUGAAGUGUCCCCUCUGCAAGAUGGCAGAAAAUACUAAUGGAAUUUCCUGAAGGUAGAUUAUGGAAGCUCGGCCCAGUUCUGAUUCGAUGCCAACAUACAGGAAAUUGCCAUUGAUGUGACACUUCCUUUCUGCCAUAUAUUUUGUAUCAGCUUGCAAAUGUUGCAGAGGAAUUGAACCAGCACCAUUAACUAAGCGAGUUUUGCCUUUAACUCACAGUUCAUCACUAAGUAUAAUACCUGAGUUUUAGAUGGAAACGGAUUUUUGUGGUUGUUUCAUGCAAUAUGUGUUCCAGAUAGAAAUGUGGAUACUCAAAAUUAAUUCAGCCAUUCCCCAUGGUGCCAUGUUUUGAAGUUCAAAUUCUUAUCCUGCCACUGAACUGGAUACUCCAGUUCCUGUUAUAGUGCAGUUAUCAUAUGAAAAAUGGCAUGCAGUUAUUGUAAGUUGUUAACCUGAGCUACUGAAACAAAAAAGUUCUAAAAAUAAAAUGUCAGUUUAUUUAAUCCAUUCUAAAAAUUGCAAUUUCAAUUAAUAUAUUGUUUUGUCAAUAAGAGCAAAAUCACUUCUAUACUCCAGUGCUUCCAAAUGAGGAAUUUUCUUUUUUUUUCUUAAACUUGCAAUGAUUUUGUUUCAAAA